AGGAAGGAGAAAAAACUUGCCUCUUUACUGAAGAAUUUGGAAAUAUUUUGCUGAGAAGUUUAUAGGGUGAAUGGAGAGUUUUUGUUUUGUUUUGGGGAUCAAAUCCAAAGCCUUGUGCAUGACAGGCAAGUGCUCUACCACUGAGCUACAUCUCUAGCCCAGAUAAGAGAUUUUGAGGUUGUUUGUAACAUAAAGCCAGGGAACCAGAAUUUUACAAAGGUUUUCCGUUGGUUUCUAGCCCCACUGAUGGCGUAUCUGAUUCUUUGAAACUAGACUCUGAUUGAGGAAUAUUAAAGUCUGCUAGUGAGGAUUACAAAGAAUUAUGGACCCAAAAUCUGAAAGUGAAAACCCAGAGGGGAAAUGAGUGUGGAGAGGAGACCACAUUUCUCAAGAAUACAAUGGAGAAUGGAUUCAGUUGUACCAGCAGUACAAUAAUUUGACUGGGAUUAUGCAUAAAUAAGAGAAAAAAAUCACAGAUAUUUGUUCCAAAGACCUGGUAUUUCUAUACCUUUGCAAGAAUAUGAUUGCAAAUACUCUCCUCCUUUGAUGUGUGUUAGUGGGCAGAUAAAUAUUGAUUGAGUCUGAUCACGGUGGCUUGACUGUUAAGUCCUGGGCUGGAGUUACAGUUAUGGACAAUGACACAAAUAGAUGUAUCCUCAUGAAGGGCUCAUUGGAAAACUUUUCUUGCUUUUAAAAUGGCAUCUGGGACAGGGAAACUGCAAAUUGCUACUGUAUGUGAUGUUAUCUGCACGUGAUAGGGUGUUUGAUAGGACCCCCUUGGAACUGCAAAGAGAAAGUAAAGAGGGCUUCAGAGAAUCAAACUGGAACUCUGACUUUGCUGAACCAGGGAAGUUAUCAACCUGGAAAUUUCUCAAGACUUUGCAAUUGGUGAUAGAUUCUGCCAUCUUUUUCAGAAUCAUGGAAAUUCAUGUAUCAGGGUACCACUGUACCUACAUAGAUAGGGAGCCCAAUAGUAAAGUUUCUUGUUAUCUUAUUACAUACUAGUUUACUUCAAUGGACAUAUACAUGUA